GACUAACGUAUAUUUAAGAAUUUUCAAAGUACCUUUAGAAUGGGUCGGCUCGAAUACUAUAGAGAUCUUUUUUCCUCUUUAUGGGAUUCGGAUCGGCCUAGAAAUACUUUGGGAAUGUAUUAAUAUAGACCUAGCCCAGUUUGAUUUUGAUGGUUUUAUUGGCCCAACCCAUGAAUCCUUAGUAUUUUGAGCCUAACCACAAAAAAUACAAUAUUAUAGGCU
rnacentral:lncRNA from 1 species